UUUAGAAUCCUGCCCGUUGGUGCUUCGCGGCGUGGUUCACGCGCCGCAGUUCAACGGGAAGCAGGAGUCGAGCCCUUCGGUGUCACGAAGUGCGGAGCCACCUGCGCUGCCCCCGCAACGGUCAAGCAGACGGUGCCGGAGUUCACGCUUCGCGCACCACUCACCCCCAUCAGCCACUGGGCGCCCUGAAACAGGUGCCUGGGAAGGCGGGGGUCGAGCGUUCUGUCAGCCCGGAUACCGGCCAACAAGGCGGCGACGCC
rnacentral:ncRNA from 2 species